rnacentral:rRNA from 1 species
GACGAACGCUGGCGGCGUGCCUAAUACAUGCAAGUAGAACGCACAGUUUAUACCGUAGCUUGCUACACCAUAGACUGUGAGUUGCGAACGGGUGAGUAACGCGUAGGUAACCUGCCUGGUAGCGGGGGAUAACUAUUGGAAACGAUAGCUAAUACCGCAUAAUAUUAAUUAUUGCAUGAUAAUUAAUUGAAAGGUGCAAUUGCACCACUACCAGAUGGACCUGCGUUGUAUUAGCUAGUAGGUGAGGUAACGGCUCACCUAGGCGACGAUACAUAGCCGACCUGAGAGGGUGAGCGGCCACACUGGGACUGAGACACGGCCCAGACUCCUACGGGAGGCAGCAGUAGGGAAUCUUCGGCAAUGGACGAAAGUCUGACCGAGCAACGCCGCGUGAGUGAAGAAGGUUUUCGGAUCGUAAAGCUCUGUUGUAAGAGAAGAACGGGUGUGAGAGUGGAAAGUUCACACUGUGACGGUAUCUGACCAGAAAGGGACGGCUAACUACGUG